rnacentral:rRNA from 1 species
AUAAGAUUGUAGUAUCGCAUGAUAUAGCAAUUAAAGGAGCAAUUCGCUAUAAGAUGGACCCGCGUCGCAUUAGCUAGUUGGUGAGGUAAUGGCUCACCAAGGCGACGAUGCGUAGCCGACCUGAGAGGGUGAACGGCCACAUUGGGACUGAGACACGGCCCAGACUCCUACGGGAGGCAGCAUG